CAAAUAUUUCAUGCAUAUUCAGGACGAGAACAAGUUCACAAUAAAUACAAUAGGUAGGUUGAUACAAUAGAGGCCAUCUGGGAUGAUGGUCGGGGAAAUUUUGAUUGCCACUGGAAAAUGAGGGUAUAUUGGAUAGGGACAGAAAUUUAGCCUUGCAACAGGCCACCUACGGACCCCUCAAAGAGUUGUUGCAAGGGUUCUUAACGUGCAAAGAGCGUGGCACUCACUUUACACGAGACAUCGGAUUUAACGUCCCCUUCUGACCGGACGUGACUGCGAACUUGAUACAUCCCGCACAGCCAAACGGACGCCCCACUUCGGCAAGCGUUUUACUGCCGGUCGGGAGAAGACCAAGUGACCAUAUUUCUAUACCCC
rnacentral:lncRNA from 1 species